UGCACUUUUAGAAAUGAUUUUAAAAGUUUAACGUCUGCCAGAUGUUUAUCUUUUGAAUCAUAAGCUAUGUGAUGCAGUGAUGAAUAAAGAUUUUAUAAAUCAAGCAACAAAAUUUGAAGAGCUUUAAUUGUUGCUGGACCAAUCGCACCGAUUCGGGAAAAGAAGACCUGAAUUUUUUGCUUAUAUUUUUUGAUAUUUAUAAAUGUAAAUAAAUUUGUUCAUUCUGA